UGGCUCACUUCGACAACACAUAAUACAAAAUCAGAAUGUAGAAGAUUCGCAUCGCCCCCUGCCCGAGGACGACACGCCGAAAUUUGAAGCGUUCCACUGUUUU
rnacentral:snRNA from 1 species